rnacentral:rRNA from 1 species
GCAACAGCUCAAAUUUGAAAUCUGGCCCUCGGGUCCGAGUUGUAAUUUGGAGAGGAUGCUUUUGGCGCGGCGCCGUCCGAGUUCCUUGGAACAGGACGCCAUAGAGGGUGAGAGCCCCGUACGGGCGGCCGCCUAGCCUUUGUAAAGCUCCUUCGACGAGUCGAGUAGUUUGGGAAUGCUGCUCAAAUGGGAGGUAAAUUUCUUCUAAAGCUAAAUACCGGCCAGAGACCGAUAGCGCACAA